rnacentral:rRNA from 1 species
CCUACGGGAGGCAGCAGUAGGGAAUAUUGGGCAAUGGAGGCAACUCUGACCCAGCCAUGCCGCGUGCAGGAUGAAGGCGUUAUGCGUUGUAAACUGCUUUUAUAUAGGAAGAAAUAGACCUUGCGAGGUAAGUUGACGGUACUAUAUGAAUAAGCACCGGCUAACUCCGUGCCAGCAGCCGCGGUAAUACGGAGGGUGCAAGCGUUGUCCGGAUUUAUUGGGUUUAAAGGGUGCGUAGGCGGUUUAUUAAGUCAGUGGUGAAAGACGGUCGCUCAACGAUUGCAGUGCCAUUGAUACUGGUAGACUUGAGUGUGAUUGAGGUAGCUGGAAUGGAUAGUGUAGCGGUGAAAUGCAUAGAUAUUAUCCAGAACACCAAUUGCGUAGGCAAGUUACUAAGUCACAACUGACGCUGAGGCACGAAAGUGUGGGUAUCAAACAGGAUUAGAUACCCUGGUAGUCCACACUGUAAACGAUGAUAACUAACUGUUGGCUUUUGGGUCAGUGGUACCAGAGAAAUCGUUAAGUUAUCCACNGGAGACGCGCGACGAGACGAGAAGAAGUAGAGNGNGAGAGAGCGAGACGACGACGAGGGAGGAGG